ensembl:lncRNA
AUGGAGACGCGUCCACACAGUUACCACGAGCAGCAGCGUUUGGUGUUUGCUGCUUGAAGCAGUUGGAAAACUUUGACUUUAAGCACUUUUGGUUAUUUAUACAGUGCUAUAUUUAACUUCACACGGUGGAAGACGCCGUCAGAGGAAGUAUUUCAGAGGUGAGAGUGAUAUUUUGCUGGUUUAUUUGAAACUCAGCUCAGACAGUCGAAGUAAGACGCCGGUUGUUUUCAAAACAAACGGUUGUUAACGUUACGUUACUUGAGAGUUUAGCACUAACGUGACUUAUUUAACUUAUUUGGUGUCUUAUUUUGAAUGUGUUUCAGGAGAACUAGAGCAAUUUAACUUUUCUAACAGCUUAAUUGAUAUAAAAUAACCCUAUCAGACUACAUCAAUCCGUAAAUGAAGAAUGAAGAUAGAUGAUAAUCUCACAGGAUCAGAUUUAGAUCUUUAGAAGCUUAUAAUUGUAUUCAAUAAAGAUCCCGAAUUCCUGAAGUCCUUUAUAAUCAGCCUGUUACCUCCCACAGUCUUGCCUUUGACAUUUUAUCUGAUGCCGUGUGGCUCACAGACUUAUUUUAACUGAUCAAACUCACCUGCUGCCUUCCAAAUUUCAUCUGAUCUAACGGGAUCUGCAGUUUUAAAUGUUUUCCAUUACUCACAGACUCCCUGUCUUACCUUUUCAUGCUUUUGUAUUGCCUCCAAACUGUCUGCUUUAUUAUACAGCACUCAACAAAACUGACAAGUUGGGAACUGAAUCAAAGCUUUAAUAAAGAAGGAGGGUCUGCUGGUGUUGACAACUAAAUGUGGAAAUGGAGGGGGAGACAUCAGCUUGGAAAAGAUAAAUAGUUUAUGAGCUAGAUAUUUUUGCUCUCGCUUCCUGACUGAGGCAGAUCCAGCGAGGCAGAUUUAUCCAUAUCGUCUGUCUAGGAAGAGACUAUGAGAGAACGCAAUAUUGUGGUGCUUGGAGACUGGUAGCACGCCUACUGUAUGUUAAAAGGUAAGCGUGCCCACAGAGGUAUCGGUCUCUCAGGAUGGCUGACCGAGGGACCCCCCAGCCUGCCCGUUCAUCUUCCAGCAUGUCCAUGCAGUCCGAUUCAGGGAAAGGUCACUCCAAGAGCAAACUCAUUUCCUCCACACCGGUCCCCAGUGAAGUCUCUCUAGAAGUGCCAGAGGUUGCAGGUAUGAAAUAGAAACAAGCUGCUUCGUGUUGUUAGUGUUUGCCUCCCACUUGUAAAUACUGUACAAGCAGCUCUCUGAUCUGCCAGUUAUUUACAUUAUGCUAAAAAAUGCAUCGAGUUUGAUGUAAUUAUGUAUUUAAAAUGGUGCCAGCAUAACAAUAUAGUGGUUCAGAGUUAUUAAAUAUUGAAAACUGUGACAGAAAGCUCCUUUACUGCCACUCAACACUAACAUCUAAUGCACUCACACUUAUUUUCCUUUUUU